UACGUAGGGGGGCAAGCGUUGUCCGGAUUUAUUGGGCGUAAAGAGCGUGUAGGCGGUUUGGUAGGUCCGCUGUGAAAACUCGAGGCUCAACCUCGAGACGCCGGUGGAAACCAUCAGACUAGAGUCCGGAAGAGGAGAGUGGAAUUCCUGGUGUAGCGGUGAAAUGCGCAGAUAUCAGGAAGAACACCCGUGGCUAAGGCGGCUCUCUAGUACGGUACUGACGCUGAGACGCGAAAAGCGUGGGGGAGCGAACAGGG
rnacentral:rRNA from 1 species